CUAAGCGGAGGAAAAGAAACUAACAAGGAUUCCCCCAGUAACGGCGAGUGAAGCGGGAAGAGCUCAGGUUGUAAAUCCGGCCCUUGGGCCCGAAUUGUAGUCUGGAGAGGCGAGACCAGCCGCUGUCCGUGGCCAAGUCUGAUUGGAAAUGAGCAUCAAGGAGGGUGAUAAUCCCGUUCAGGCCGCGGUAUCAAUCAGCGCGCGGAAGGUCAGCUUUCGACGAGUCGAGUUGCUUGGGAUUGCAGCUCAAAGUGGGUGGUAAACUCCAUCCAAAGCUAAACACGGGGGGGAGACCGAUAGCGAACAAGUACCGUGAGGGAAAGAUGCAAAGAACUUUGAAAAGAGAGUUAAAGAGUGCCUGAAAUUGCUGAAAGGGAAGCGAAGGAAAGCAGUGUCGUCGGUAGCGCUUCUCCGCGGCCCCUUCGGGGGCUCGGCUUGCGCUCCGGCGUGGCCAGGGAUGGGUGGGUCUGUCGCGGGAUGCUGCGCGUCUGGAAGGUAGCACUCCUCGGAGUGUGAAUACCGGCGCGUUUUGUCGCGAUCCCGGCCGUCCCUGACGAAAUGUUUUUCUUUACCCCGUCUUGAAACACGGACCAAGGAGUCUAACAUGCCCGCGAGUACAGGGGUGAUCCAAAACCCCCGUGCGCAGUGAAAGUGAACGCAGGUGGGAGGCCUAAGAACCGCACCAUCGACCGAUCGUGUCCCCCCGGGGGCGAGUUUUGAGUCUGAGCGUGCAUGUUGGGACCCGAAAGAUGGUGAACUAUGCCUGAAUAGGGCGAAGCCAGGGGAAACUCUGGUGGAGGCUCGUAGCGAUUCUGACGUGCAAAUCGAUCGUGAGAUUUGGGUAUAGGGGCGAAAGACUAAUCGAACCAUCUAGUAGCUGGUUCCCUCCGAAAUUUCCCUCAGGAUAGCUGCAACCUAUUUGAAUCCAGUUUUAUCAGGUAAAGCGAAUGAUUAGAGGCUGCGGGGGAGUAACUCCCUCGCCCUAUUCUCAAACUUUAAAUGGGUAAGGUAAUGGUGUCGCUUGUUUGGACACCUUGGCUUCGGCCAUUGGAAUGGAGGUUGUUUGUGGGCCAGUCCGGGUAAGCUGGACUGGCGAUGCGGGAUGAACCGAACGCCUAGUUGAAGCGCCUCACUG
rnacentral:rRNA from 1 species